rnacentral:rRNA from 1 species
GGAGUAUGUGGUUUAAUUCGAUGCAACGCGAAGAACUUACCUGGUCUUGACAUCCCGGAGACCCUUAGGAAACUAGGGGGUGCUUCCAUCUGGAAGAAUCUGGAGACAGGUGCUGCAUGGCUGUCGUCAGCUCGUGUCGUGAGAUGUUGGGUUAAGUCCCGCAACGAGCGCAACCCUUGCCUUUAGUUGCCAGCAGUUCGGCUGGGCACUCUAAAGGGACUGCCGGUGUUAAACCGGAGGAAGGUGGGGAUGACGUCAAGUCCUCAUGGCCUUUAUGACCAGGGCUACACACGUACUACAAUGGCCGAUACAAAGGGCAGCGACACUGCGAGGUGAAGCCAAUCCCGUAAAAUCGGUCUCAGUCCGGAUUGGAGUCUGCAACUCGACUCCAUGAAGUUGGAAUCGCUAGUAAUCGUGGAUCAGCAUGCCACGGUGAAUACGUUCCCGGGCCUU